rnacentral:rRNA from 1 species
AUGGCCACCUGCCUCUCUGACCUUAUUAGUGACCAUUCCCUAGAUUUCCAGGGUCUGCAAGAGACCAUGAAAAAAGAUUUUCCCCCUAAGUGUUUGAGGAGAAUUGAUCCCUUUAACUUUUUCAAAUGGAACUGGGUUCCUUCUGAGGGCAAGUCUGGAAGUAUCCUGUGUGGAGUUAGGCAAAACACUUUGGAGGUGGUCACCUCUAACAAAGGCAAGUACAUCUUGCAAGUGGUGGUCUUUGACAAGAAGAAGAAAACUAAUUGGGGGUUGUUGGUAGUUUAUGGCUCUGCACAUGAAGAACAGAAGGAAGAUUUUUUGCUUGAGCUUGCUACUAUGUGUAAU